AUCGUUCUGGAAAAAUCCUACCUAGUAGUCCGACGAAAAUUCCCUUUCAUAACCCGCAGCAACCCAAGUUAAACUAAAAAUUAAAGAGGAAAUAUCAUGGCUACUGGUUCCGUGAAAUGGUUCAACGAAUCGAAAGGCUUCGGCUUUAUCUCUCAGGACGACGGCGGUAAAGACGUUUUCGUUCACUUCAGCGCCAUCACCGGUGACGGCUUCAAAACCCUGGCCGAAGGUCAGAAGGUCAGCUUUGACGUGCAGGAUGGUCCGAAGGGUCCUCAGGCGGCAAACGUCGUUCCGCAGUAAACUGCCGGAAUGAUCAUAAAAAGCCCCGCUUCAUGCGGGGCUUUUUUU
rnacentral:sRNA from 1 species